rnacentral:rRNA from 1 species
UCUCCGUUGGUGAACCAGCGGAGGGAUCAUUACCGAGUUUACAACUCCCAAACCCAAUGUGAACGUUACCAAACUGUUGCCUCGGCGGGGUCACGCCCCGGGUGCGUAAAAGCCCCGGAACCAGGCGCCCGCCGGAGGAACCAACCAAACUCUUUCUGUAGUCCCCUCGCGGACGUAUUUCUUACAGCUCUGAGCAAAAAUUCAAAAUGAAUCAAAACUUUCAACAACGGAUCUCUUGGUUCUGGCAUCGAUGAAGAACGCAGCGAAAUGCGAUAAGUAAUGUGAAUUGCAGAAUUCAGUGAAUCAUCGAAUCUUUGAACGCACAUUGCGCCCGCCAGUAUUCUGGCGGGCAUGCCUGUCCGAGCGUCAUUUCAACCCUCGAACCCCUCCGGGGGAUCGGCGUUGGGGAUCGGGACCCCUCACCGGGUGCCGGCCCUGAAAUACAGUGGCGGUCUCGCCGCAGCCUCUCCUGCGCAGUAGUUUGCACAACUCGCACCGGGAGCGCGGCGCGUCCACGUCCGUAAAACACCCAACUUCUGAAAUGUUGACCUCGGAUCAGGUAGGAAUACCCGCUGAACUUAA